CAAAUUUUCCUUUACACAAACAAACCGGAGACGCCAGUAUGACCAAUAUGUGUUAGUCUGCUGUAUCCUCCACAACCUAGCGCUCAGAACUGGCCUGCAUGAUGAGAAUUUGCACUGUGCAAAUUGCAUUCAGCUCAAAUGUUUUGGACAGUGCCAGUGGAAGGAAAACGAUACAGAAAGAGAAAAGGAUAGUUGGCUCUUUCUGACAGUGCCCCCCAACAGCCAAGUGGGUGCUUUGCAGGGGAGUUGACUGAGACCAUGGAUGCUGUUGCCAUGCACAUCACAAUAACCCUCGUCAGUGUGUAAUGACAUUACUGACACAGAUGUGCCUCAGUGGCACACCAGCCUGAAUUCCUCCUACAUUCAUUUUUACAGUCACGUUUAUGAAUAUUCAUGAUGGACAUAGGGCAUGAUUUUCUGCCAUAUUUCAUUAUGCUUUCACAGCUGAUGCAGAAAUUAGAUGCCCAUUCUCAGGAAACUCUUGCAUUUUUACAAUCUAAUUUGAAACAUUUACUGCUGAACUUCAAGAAAUCAUAUUUUUCCACAAGUACCAGGUAGUGCUGUAACUACCAUAUGGACCACAAUAUAGGAAUGCUUCCCCCAAAUCUUCAGAGAUUUGAUUUUUAAUAACUGCAUUAGCUCACAAAUAUCAUGAAACCACACCAUAUUAUUUAUAGUCAGCAUUAUUGUGCGUUGCGCUAAGAACUAAUAAAAGAAAAUUUAAAACAUUAAAAACAUUAGCUAUUUUUAUUUCGUUUCAUUUUUUAGAAAGUCGAUCUAAUUCAUUAAAGUGCAAUGUUGAUGAAUGGGGACGUGCCACUGACUCACAUUCUAAUGAAAACCAAAUAUGUCAAAUUAGAAUGUAUGUUUUAUUUUAAAAAUGAUUUUGUAUUAUACAAUAACUACUCAAAAUUCAAUUAUUUCUACCAGUUGUAAGUCAUGGUGACUCAAGCUGUGUAUCAUUCUGUUGGAAGCUGUGAAUUUACAAUUUCCAACUUGAAAAAAAUAGCAAAGGGACAACACUUGAAGUCAGACUUCCAACUUGGAAACUCGUGCAUAAAUCCUCAACUUUGAUUUCACCGAAAUGCUGGUGCAUCCUGUAGUGUAUUCUCUCCUAAAAUCUGACCAAAGUUUCAGUUUCAGGAUACAGAUGAUGUUUGGACCACUAAACAUGUUUGGCAGAUAUGGGACAAUGAUAAUCUGUACAUAGAUUCAGAAUUUUAUAAUACAAAUGUUUAUUUUAACAUGUUUGGGAGUGAUUUGAUGAUGUUGGCCAUUACUUUUAAUCAGGACUGUUUAUUCAACUUUAUAGAAAAUCGGCUGUAAUGUCUUUAACAUCUAAACAUUUUCAACAUGAAAAACUAAC